rnacentral:rRNA from 1 species
GACGAACGCUGGCGGCGUGCUUAACACAUGCAAGUCGAACGGAAAGGCCCUGCUUUUGUGGGGUGCUCGAGUGGCGAACGGGUGAGUAACACGUGAGUAACCUGCCCUUGACUUUGGGAUAACUUCAGGAAACUGGGGCUAAUACCGGAUAGGAGCUCCUGCUGCAUGGUGGGGGUUGGAAAGUUUCGGCGGUUGGGGAUGGACUCGCGGCUUAUCAGCUUGUUGGUGGGGUAGUGGCUUACCAAGGCUUUGACGGGUAGCCGGCCUGAGAGGGUGACCGGCCACAUUGGGACUGAGAUACGGCCCAGACUCCUACGGGAGGCAGCAGUGGGGAAUAUAGAACAAUGGGCGGAAGCCUGAUGCAGCAACGCCGCGUGCGGGAUGACGGCCUUCGGGUUGUAAACCGCUUUCGCCUGCGACGAAGCGUGAGUGACGGUAAUGGGUAAAGAAGCACCGGCUAACUACGUG